rnacentral:rRNA from 1 species
GACGAACGCUGGCGGCGUGCUUAACACAUGCAAGUCGAACGGAAAGGCCUGCUUUCCCUUGUGGAUUGCGGGUACUCGAGUGGCGAACGGGUGAGUAACACGUGAGUGAUCUGUCCCCAACUUGGGUAUAAGCCUGGGAAACUGGGUCUAAUUCCCGAUAGGACUGCAGGGUGGUGCCUGUGGUGGAAAACGAUUUUCUAGUGGUUGGGGAUGAGCUCGCGGCCUAUCAGCUUGUUGGUGGGGUAAUGGCCUACCAAGGCGGCGACGGGUAGCCGGCGUGAGAUGGUGGGCGUGCGCAUUGGGACUGAGAUACGGCCCAGGCUCGUACGGAAGGCAGCAGUGGGGAAUAUUGCACAGUGUGCGGAAGCCUGAUGCAUCGACGCCGCGUGGGGGAUGACGGCCUUCGGAUUGUAAACUCCUUUCGACCGCGAGGAAGCCACCUGGUUGGAAGGGUGGUGACGGUAGUGGUAGAAGAAGCACCGGCUAACUACGUG